UUUAAUGGACACGGAGAAAAGGGGAAUCGGGUGUUUAUGCCUUUCCCAGCGCCGCCGGGGCCCCGGGAAGACCAAGUUCAGUGUCUCGGGCGGGGGCGCAGGCGGGCAGGGGGCGGCGAGACCGGGCCGGGGGCGCCUCGGCGGGGUGGGGGCCCGGCGCCUUUCUUUUUCCUUUUUUUUUUUUUUUUUUUUUCUCUUUUCCGCGGAUGCAAAUUUCUGGAGCGGGGAGAGGGAGAGCCCGGGAAGGGGGUGGCGUGGCGGUUGGUGGUGGGGAGGGGAGGGGAGGGGAGGGAAGCCUUUUAAUGACUCAUUGAUUGAGCCGGUUUAAAAUUAGUUGUGUGCGCGAGUGAGUGUGUUUUCCGCCCCCCGGAGCCGCCGGGAGCCGGGAAGGAGGGAGCGGGGAUCGGCGAGGGGAAGACGGCGCUGCGGGGCCGCGAGCAGGGGGCAGGGAGGGCCUGGAGUGACGGCGGGCGAGGAAGAAAAAUAAGCUUUUCCAAUCUCCACCCCUCUGUUUUCCCCCCCUCGUUUCUUUUCUCUCUCGGAAGCUCUAGGGUGUGAAUCAUAUUUUCUUUCUUCUCGGCAAAAUGGACCCCGCGUCUGGGGAGGGGGAGGGGAGAGGGUGGGGAGGGAGGCGGCGGGGACGGGGUUUAUUUUUCAUCCUGGUUUCCUCCUUCCCGCCGCAUCUGCAGAAGGCGGCGGCGAGGAGAGCAGGUCCGGGCUGCGGCAGGGAGAGCUCAGGGCCGGCGGGUCGUCCGCGGCCCGGCUCCCGCUCCCGCUCCGAGCCCGCGGCGGCGCCGGCGCGUAGCUGCCGGCGGGACUGCCCCUUCCCAGCCGCCUCGCUGACUUCCCGAAGCUCCGCCGAGGAUCCGCGGCCGGGUCCGAGCGAGCCCCCAGCCGCGCGGAGGACCCCGCGGCCCAGACAGGCGCCUCCUGCAAGGCCCGCACUGUCCGCCGCUCCGGCCAGAAGAGAUGAGCGGCUGGGGCAGCGCUUUUUGGCCGAGAGCGCGCGGGCCUGACGCUGUUCGCGCCCCCCGAGUCGCCCCGAAUGCCGGAUUUUGCUUUGGUGGAGGGGUGCAGUUGGAAGGUGCUAAGAUGGCGCUGGGCCUGGCCUGUCGCCAGGGCUGGUGGCGCAGUUGCUCGACGGGCGCCAUCUUUCUCGCGGCGUGGGUGGCGCCCUCCGAGGACAUUUUGCUGACCAGGGCGCCGCGAGGCCGGGGGCCAGCGGGAGCCGGGAGCAAGGUGCUGAAUUCUGGAGAUGGGGCCGGACUCGCCCGGCCUUCUCCUUCCCCAAACCCCCAGACCCAAAAGACUAGGCCGGGUCGGAGCGGGAAGGGCUGGGGCCAGCUGCUUGCUGCUUCCCACUUGUUUGUGAUGGAAGAAGGGGGCUGAGGGUCGAGCCUCACCGCUGAUGGGUUCCCUCCCUAUUUGACCCCGCACCCCCACUGCCCCCAGUCAAAAUUGGAGGUGAGGAGCUCUAGCCAUCUUCUCUCCUGCUGUCUGAGAGUGGACGCCUUUGUUUUCCGUGACCCGGCAUGGGGCAGGGCAUUGAGGCUUUGCUUUCAUCCUCCUCCAGUUAUUGAAAGUAGAGUCCAGCCAGGUUACAAAAGUAAAAAAACAGUCGAGGACAGUGUGUCUGCCUUCCGGGAACAUGGUUCUCUAUGGGUACGCUACCCUUCAUUUCUUACUUCAAAACAACCCUGGGGAGACAUUUACUAGUUGUCAGAUUGUGGGAAGGGAAUGGGUUCCAGUUUUUUGAAACUUCUUGUCUUUUAUAUUACUCAAAUGGCAGUGAAUCAAAACAGUUUCUUAGAAGUCUGAUCUUUCAAUAUGCUUUAAAACACUCUGAAAGUCUUCCUUUUCUAAAAAAACAUCCGUAUAAAGUAUCUGUUGGUAGUAUCUAUUAGAGAUGGGAGAGGGGUUUUUAACUUUUACAUUGUUACUGAAAAAGGGAAAGGUCUGUAAAGCUCUAUCUCUCUAAAAGUCCACAGACAUGGAAAGUAAGUAGUUAAUUUCUAUGAGAGAAAAGUAACAGUGGUGCCACUAGGUGUGUCCUUGUGUUUAUAAAUACACAUAGUGGAUGCUUUAGACCAUUUAAAAAGACCGACCUGCUGUAUGCCAGGAACUGUGCUUGGUGCUUUGUAUAAUUUCUGUUUUAUCAGUCCUGAAAGAUUGAUUUUAUGAUUUGUCUACUGGGGAAUGGAUGAACGUUCAUAGAAAUAUAGUAAUUAAUUGUUCGAGAUCUUGCUGGUUUAAGUGGUAAAAUUGGCAUUGGAUGACAAAAGCUGUGUUCUUCUCUCUGCACCUAUGGGUUCCAAAUCUGAGCAUCAGAAUUAACUGGGGAGAUGUUUUUGAAUAUAGACUUGUAACAUCACCUCUUCCACCAUCAUUUGCUAGGGCCAAUUGGGUCAUUUUUUAAUGUCUCAGGCAAUCCAACUUCUUGAUGUUCAGUAUUGAAAUUCUGGCCCACCCUGUACCCGCUGCAUCUGAAGAUCUAGUAUUCCAAAGCUCUCCAGGAGAUUCCGGUGUGACAUAGAUACACAUUUGGGCUGUCUUGUACUUCGCUUGCACUGUUCUGCUGGCUCUUUUUUGAAUUGGAACACAAAAUUGAGGUCCAUAUCAUUUUGAGUUUCAGCAGUUUUUUAAUCAUGUUAGUCUCAUUUUUAUUUUUCCUCUUCCAGAUGCCAUUUAUCAAAUAGUCAAAAUUAUUUUCUCAGAGAAAAAGGUUUAGGUAUCCUAAGACCUUAAAAUCUCAGUACAUUUUUUAAAGUAUAUUGUCUCAUUCUAUGGGGAGGUUAUACAACAUACAGGCUUCUAGGUCUAGCUAGGCCAUCUAGUUAAGACAACUGUGCAACAAAAAUAGAAUUAAGGCCAGGAGGGGUGGCUCACACCUGUAAUCCCAGCACUUUGGGAGGCCAAGGUGGAUGGAUUACCUGAGGUCAGGAGUUUGAGACCAGCCUGGCUAACUAACAUAGUGAAGCCCCAUCUCUACUAGAAAUACAAAAAAAUUAGCCAAGGGAAUCACUUGAGGCAGGAGAAUCGAAUGCAGGAGGUGGAGGUGGCAGUGAGCUGAGACUGUGCCAUUACACUCCAGCCUGGGCAACAAGAACGAAACUCUGUCUCAAAAAAAAAAAAAAAUUGAAUCUAGGCUUGAUCCAGAAAUUAAGAAUAGGGUAGAAAAGACCCUGAAAUAGUCCGGGCGAGGUGGCUCAACACCUGUAAUCUCAGCACUUUGGGAGGCCUAGGUGGGCAGAUCACCUGAGGUCAGGAGUUCUAGACCAGCCUGACCAACAUGGAGAAACCCCACCUCUACUAAAAAUACAAUGUUAGCUAGGCAUGGUGGCGCAUGCCUGUAAUCCCAGCUACUCGGGAGGUUGAGGCAGAAUUGCUUGAACCCGGGAGGCGGAGGUUUCGGUGACUCAGGAUCCCACCAUUGCACUCUAGGCUGGGCAGCAAGAGCAAAACUCUGUCUCAAAAACGAAAACCAGCAACAAACCCUGAAAUAAAGACCUGAAGAUAAAUCCUUGAAAGAAAAGAUGGUUUCCUGAAUUUUGAAUUGUGGACAUAGCUUCUGGGUUUUGGGAAGUAGAAUGGUCAGGUUAUUCUAAAUGUGGAACCUAAUAAGAGCAGAACAUGGAUAAAAUCACUAGUCAGGAAUGACCUUACUAAAGUGAGAAAGAACCAAGUCAGUGAUAGGAUCAUUAACUUCUCUGGACCAAGGAUCAUGUAUUUUACUGAUUUUGUGCUUCCCCUUGUUGAUUCUCCUCAAAUCAUUGUUGUGUUUAGUAAUUGCUAGGGAGAGUAGUUUAAAACUUAGAUUUUUGAUGCAUAUGUCAGAAUUUACCAUCUUUGCGUAUGUACACAUUGGAAAAUUUUUGUAAGGAGAAUCUGUUGAAUACCUCUGUGCAGUCUGUGUCCAGUCUAGAUCACUAGGUGGGUGGUGUGACUUCCAGUUUUUAAAGGGAAGUCACUUGUGGUUUUUCUCCCCUUGUUUUUUAUGGUAAAUGCCAAAGUAAUUACAAUCUUUGACUAAAAUCCAUUUAAAGCUUGAAACAAGGUGGAAAUCUAAAAUAAACCUGUGUAGAGGGAAACAGUAGCUUCUUUAAAGUAACCUUUACUGGAAUUCCAGACAGACAAGAUCUCUGCACUCAUGGAAUUUACAGUGUAGUGAGGAAGGACAGAAAAUAGUUAAACACAAAUAAUCAAGAUAAGGACAGAUUAAGAAAAAUAUAAGAUAAGUGGCUGGGGGAUCUAAAAGUAUGUUGGGAAUAACCGUUUUGGCUAGUAAGGGUCACGAAAAGUUUCUUUGUAGGGGUGACAUUUGAGCUGAGACUUGAAACAAGAACUUGUGCUAGCCAUGUGAAAAGCUGGGGAGACAUUCCAGACCUGGGAACAAGUGCAAAGAUCUGGAAGGCUAGGUGUUAGACUGGAGAGAAGGCUCCUCUGAGCAAGGGAAGAGUGGAAUGAGAUGGAGUUGGAGAGAUCCUGUAGGUCUUAUAUUAAGCCAUAGGGGGAAUUUUUGGAUUUUAUUCGAAUGGCAAUGAGAAGGGUUUUAAUUCAGGCAGUGAUCAUGUUUUUGUUUUUAAAGAUAAUUGGCUAUGUAGAGGAAGACAGGAAACAGAGAGGGAGGUUAGGAGGCUAUUGCAAUAGUCAGUCCAAGAUGGGUAGGAUCUCAGGCAAGUAAAGUAGCAAUGAGAUGCAGAAGAGUAGACAGCAGUUUUCACAUAUUUUGGAGAUGGAAUCAGAAGGAUUUGCUUACUGGGUUGGCUUUGGAGGGAGAGGGAGGAAUCCAGGGUCCCUUCAGGUUGCCGGCCCAAGCCUUGGACUGCCACAUGGCACCAUUUGCUGGUUGGAGAAAGAACAGGUAGGGAGGGAUGGGUAGCAAGAGUUCUGUGUGGAACCUGUUGUAUGUUUUAAUAAUUGGGAGACAUCCAAGUGGACAGUUAAGUAGGCAGUGAAUAUUUAAGUUGAGCUGAGGGGAGUGACCUAGACUGGACAUAAAUUUCGGGAGUCACUAAUACACAGAUGGCAUGUCAUGGGACUGAUUGAGAACAUUUGUGGCCUUAAGAUCAAGCCCUAGGAGACUGAUUUGAGUAAUAAAACUCUGGUCUCCCACACAGCCAGAUCUGUGGCGGGCAGCGGGGUUGGGCGGGGGACCCACCCCAAAACACUAACAAUGGCUAAAGCUUGGGCAAAGGAGACUGAAAGGCUCAGCCAUUAAAGCGGGAGAAUAUUUUAUCCUUUUCAAGAAAGAGGAAAUGAUCACCUCUGUCAAAUGCUGCUGAGAAGUUAAAACAAUGAGAAUAGAGAGAUGUCUAUUGGAUUUGACAACAUGAUGGUGACUGUUUUGACAAGUAGUUUCAGUGGCAUGUGAGGAUCCAAGCCAUAUUGGAAUGCUCUGAAGAGAGAAUAGAAAGUGAGGUGAAUAUCGACAGCUUGCUAGGGAAAUUUUGCUGCUGUAAAGUGGAGAGAAACAGCUUAGUGGCUGGAGAGGGAGAUGGGGUCAAAGAAGAGGGCUUUUUUCUUUUCUUUCUUUGUCUCAGUCAUCCAGGUUGGAGUGCAGUGGUGCAAUCCUGGCUCACCACAGCCUCGACCUCCUGGGCUCAAGUGAUCCUCAUACCUUAGCCUCUCCUGAGUAGCUGGGACCACAGGUAUGCACCACCAUACCUAACUAAUUAAUUUUUUUUUUGAGACAGUUUCACUCGUUACCCAGGCUGAAGUGCAAUGGCGUGAUCUUGGCUCCCUGCAACCUCUGCCUCCUGGGUUCAGGCAAUUCUCCCGCCUCAGCCUCCUGAGUAGCUGGGAUUACAGGCAUGCGCCACCAUGCCCAGCUAAUUUUUUGCAUUUUUAGUAGAGAUGGGGUUUCACCAAAUUGACCAUGAUGGUCUCGAUCUCUUGACCCCAUGAUCCACCCACCUCGGCCUCCCAAAGGGCUGGGAUUACAGGCUUGAGCCACCGCGCCCGGCCCCUCAUUUUUUUAUUUUUGUAGAGACAGGGUCUCCCUAUGUAAAGAAGAGGGCUUUUCUUUUAAACAAAGAGAACUAGAUAGGCUAAUGAGAAUAUUUAAUAGAGAAGGUGAGGGUGAGACUAAUCCAGAAGCAAGACCAAGUAGUACCAAAGGAGCAGCAUUUUUUUUUUUUUUUUUUUUUUGAGAAGCAGUUUUGCUCUUGUUGCCCAGACUGGAGUGCAGCGGCAUGAUCUUGGCUCACUGCAGCCUCCACUUCCCAGGUUCAAGCAGACCUCCUGCCUCAGCCCCUCAAGUAGCUGGGAUUAUAGGUAUGCACCACCACCCCUGACUAACUUUGUAUUUUUAGUAGAGACAUGGUUCCACCAUGUUGGCCAGGCUGGUCUCGAACUGACCUCAGGUGAUCCAUCUGCCUUGGCCUACCAAAGUGCUGGGGUUACAGGUCUGUACCACACCUGGCCAGGAGCAGCAUUCUUAAGGAAUUCAAGACACAGGAAGAGCACUUGCCUUUGGUGGCAGCAAGAAAACACAGUGUGGCAUAAGAUAGAGAAUGGGGCGAAAGUGCAAGGCGAAUUGGAGGUAGAAUAUAGGACUUUACUUUCUGAUGGCUUCUGUUUUCUCAGUGAAGUCUGAGGCAAGACCAGCAACUUACAAAGAAGGGGUAGUGGAUGAUUUCAGGAGAGAUGUAUACUUCACCUUGAGCAGUAGGACAAGGAACUGAAUGGGAAACAGGAUAGUUUCAGUGCUGGGCCUUGUUGAAUGCCUCACUGUGGCUUGGGGUUGUGAAUUUAAGGUAAAACCAAUCAGCUGAGCUAGUUGUGUGAUUUUUUUUUCUGCCAGCAAUAUUCAGCUGUUAUGAGGGUAGCAAAGAGAAGGCAGGUGAUUACCCAAAAUUGGUGUUUUGCCCUGCAGGUUUGACAGAGGAGAAGCAGUGUCAGGACCUUGAGAGAAGUUGCAGGGGGAUGAUUUUGAUGAUGAACCUUGGAAUGUUAGCUGGGUAGGAAAGUAAGAGAAGAAUGGGAGUGGAGGCUAUGAAUUUAACCGUGAAAAUCGUUAUUGGCUUAAAGUGAGUUAAUGGGUACAGAGUUUCAGUUUGGGAAGAUGAAAAAGUUUCUGGCCAGGUGCAGUGGCUCAUGCUAUAAUCCCAGCACUUUGGGAGGCUGAGGCGGGCAGAUCACCUGAGGUUGGGAGUUUUGAGACCAGUCUGACCAACAUGGAGAAACCCCGUCUGUACUAAAAAUACAAAAUUAGCCACGUAUGGUGACGCAUGCCUGUAAUCCCAGUUACUCGGGAGGCUAAGGUUUCAAUGAGCUGAGAUUGCGCCACUGCACUCCAGCCUGGGUGACAAGAGCGAAACUUGGUCUCAAAAAAAGAAAAACAUUUCUAAAGCUGGAUAGGGCUCUUGGUUUUACAACAAUGCGAAAGUAUUUAAUGCCACUUAACCGAAUACUUUUUUUUCCCCCCGAAUACUUUUAAAUGGUUAAAAUUCUGUAAUUCCAUAGAGAAAUAAAGGAUUUUCCCAAUCCUGAAAAACAAUGGUUAAAAUUGUAAAUCUUAUAUAUAUUUUACCACAAUAAAAAAUGAAUUAGUCUGAGCCCCGUGGCUCACAUGUAUAAUCCCAGCACUUUGGGAGGCCAAGGCAGGUAAAUCACUUCAGGCCAGAAGUUUGAUCAGCCUGGCCAACAUGGCAAAAUCUGUUUCUACUAAAAAUACGAAAAAGAAAAAUAACAAGGCACAGUGGCACACACCUCUAAUCCCAGCUACUCAGGAGGCUGAGGCAUCAGAAUCACUUGAACCUGGGAGGCAGACAUUGCAAUAAGCUGAGAUCUCCCCACUUCAUUCCAGCCUGAGCAACAGAACUAGACUGUCUCAAAAAAAAAAAAAAAAAAGAGUGAACACUAAAAUUUUUGUGGCAGAUGGAGAUGUUAUAUGCAUAUGGAAGAAAAUUGCAUUAGAAAUGAAAUCUCAGAUUACUGAAGCUAAAGAGAAUGUAUCUUUCCUUAUCAUGGUACCAAACUUGAGUGUGCAUGAAUCACCUAUACAAACAGAUUCUAGAAUAGGACCAGGAAAUAUUACAUUAUCUGCUUCCAUGUUUACUGUUUUGUUCUAAGCCUUUAGCACAUCAUUCAAAACAAGUUGAGCACUCAGUAAACAUUUGCUGACAUAACACUUGGAGAACCUGGGUAGAAUAGAAUGAUGGGAAUCAAAAGGAAAACAGUAUUCUGUAGAGAUCAGCAACGCCUUAUGCUAUUAGAGAGAUCUAUGAGAAAAAGAAUCAAGACCAUGGAAUAUGUGGCAGCUUAUAGCAUUUGAUAUUCUGAUCUGUGCAAGUGAUGAGAAAAAAAUCUGAUUUAAAAACAGAAGGAGAGAAAUAAGCACUGAGUUUCAUUUUUUGUCUGUUUGUUUUUGAGACGGGGUCUAACUCUGUUACCCAGGCUGGAGUGCAGUGGUACAAUUGUAGCUCACUGCAGCCUGAACCUCCUGGGCUCAAGGGAUCCCCUCUCCUCAGCCUCCCAAGUAGCCAGGACUAUAGGCACAUAACACCAUGCCCAGAUAAUUUUUUUUAAAUUUUUUUGUAGAGACAAGGGUCUCUGUCACCAGGCUGGUCUCAAAAUCCUGGGCUCAAGCAGUCCUCCCACCAUGACCUCCCAAAGUACUGGCAUUACAGGCAUGAGCUGCAUCCUACGAGAAAAUCAUUUUUUAAAGAUUUAGGCCAGGCGUGAUGGCUCUUCCCUAUAAUCCCAGCACUUUUGGGAGGCCGAGGCAGGCGGAUCACCUGAUGAGGUCGGGAGUUCAAGACCACCCUGAUCAACAUGGAGAAACCCCAUCUCUACUAAAAAUACAAAAAUUAGCUGGGUAUGGUGGCAGGCACUGUAGUCCCAGCUACUGAGGAGGCUGAGCCUGGAGAAUCACUUGAAUCUGAGAGGCGGAGAUUGCAGAGAUCUGAGAUCGUGCCAUUGUACUCCAGGCUGGACAAUAAGAGCGAAACUCCAUCUCAAAAAAAAUAAAAGAUCUUAAACAGUGUCAAAGAAAGUAUGUAGCUCCCCCUCCUUGCUUUCUUUUCCCCUUUCUUUCCUUGUUGAAUCUCCUUGUCAUUCCCUUUAUCAUGACGUUUCUUUGCUCCCCAAAUAGGCUAAACAAUAACCAUAAAGUGAGAUUAGAGAAAAUAAGAAUGGAGUAGAUGAUGGAAUUCAAAAUAGCUGUCUAUAUUCUUCACUGAGAAAGAUACCAAGGUCAUUUUUCAGGGACAGAGACAACAGGUUUUGAGUUAAAGGUGAGAAGAGCCAGUGUGUGGAAUGUAUUCACUGUGAGGAAAACGUGAAACACCAGUUGUGUUUCUGCAUGGCAUGGUUCCUGUUUGAUGAAUAAUGUUCUGUAUAGUAGAAGUGGAAAAUGCAGUGAGUGAAGGAGCUGGCAGAAGGUGGGCUGGGGAGUUGGGGAAGAGUUAAAUGAGAGCGGUGAGAGAGCUGACUGAAAAGGCAUGUGGGGUGUGAGCUUUUAAAGGAAAGCCCUAAGAUGGAAAUCACUAAGGUGGUGCUUGGCUGCAAGGAGAGGGAGCCUAGGACUUGGCUGUGCUGGGGGUGGCCUUUGUAGUGCAGUUGAGGAGAGCUCAGGGGCUGACUGCAUGCUGUGUGGGAAGGUGGAAGAAAGAGAACCUGGGAGCAGCAGCUUUGUUCUGGUUUGUGGUUUGCCCUUCCCUACCUCGUAUGUACUCCCAUUCAGGAAAAGAUCCUGAGACCUCUCUGUACCAGGUCUUCUUAUACCCAGGUUCUCCUUAAUCCCAAUGAACUUUGAUUUAUAAAGUUAUGAUUUGUUUACUUAUACGUUUAUUUUUAAUAAAGUUGUGAAAUUGAA